rnacentral:rRNA from 2 species
AAAUUGAAGAGUUUGAUCAUGGCUCAGAUUGAACGCUGGCGGCAGGCCUAACACAUGCAAGUCGAACGGUAACAGGAAGCAGCUUGCUGCUUUGCUGACGAGUGGCGGACGGGUGAGUAAUGUCUGGGAAACUGCCUGAUGGAGGGGGAUAACUACUGGAAACGGUAGCUAAUACCGCAUAACGUCGCAAGACCAAAGAGGGGGACCUUCGGGCCUCUUGCCAUCGGAUGUGCCCAGAUGGGAUUAGCUAGUAGGUGGGGUAACGGCUCACCUAGGCGACGAUCCCUAGCUGGUCUGAGAGGAUGACCAGCCACACUGGAACUGAGACACGGUCCAGACUCCUACGGGAGGCAGCAGUGGGGAAUAUUGCACAAUGGGCGCAAGCCUGAUGCAGCCAUGCCGCGUGUAUGAAGAAGGCCUUCGGGUUGUAAAGUACUUUCAGCGGGGAGGAAGGGAGUAAAGUUAAUACCUUUGCUCAUUGACGUUACCCGCAGAAGAAGCACCGGCUAACUCCGUGCCAGCAGCCGCGGUAAUACGGAGGGUGCAAGCGUUAAUCGGAAUUACUGGGCGUAAAGCGCACGCAGGCGGUUUGUUAAGUCAGAUGUGAAAUCCCCGGGCUCAACCUGGGAACUGCAUCUGAUACUGGCAAGCUUGAGUCUCGUAGAGGGGGGUAGAAUUCCAGGUGUAGCGGUGAAAUGCGUAGAGAUCUGGAGGAAUACCGGUGGCGAAGGCGGCCCCCUGGACGAAGACUGACGCUCAGGUGCGAAAGCGUGGGGAGCAAACAGGAUUAGAUACCCUGGUAGUCCACGCCGUAAACGAUGUCGACUUGGAGGUUGUGCCCUUGAGGCGUGGCUUCCGGAGCUAACGUGUUAAGUCGACCGCCUGGGGAGUACGGCCGCAAGGUUAAAACUCAAAUGAAUUGACGGGGGCCCGCACAAGCGGUGGAGCAUGUGGUUUAAUUCGAUGCAACGCGAAGAACCUUACCUGGUCUUGACAUCCACGGAAGUUUUCAGAGAUGAGAAUGUGCCUUCGGGAACCGUGAGACAGGUGCUGCAUGGCUGUCGUCAGCUCGUGUUGUGAAAUGUUGGGUUAAGUCCCGCAACGAGCGCAACCCUUAUCCUUUGUUGCCAGCGGUCCGGCCGGGAACUCAAAGGAGACUGCCAGUGAUAAACUGGAGGAAGGUGGGGAUGACGUCAAGUCAUCAUGGCCCUUACGACCAGGGCUACACACGUGCUACAAUGGCGCAUACAAAGAGAAGCGACCUCGCGAGAGCAAGCGGACCUCAUAAAGUGCGUCGUAGUCCGGAUUGGAGUCUGCAACUCGACUCCAUGAAGUCGGAAUCGCUAGUAAUCGUGGAUCAGAAUGCCACGGUGAAUACGUUCCCGGGCCUUGUACACACCGCCCGUCACACCAUGGGAGUGGGUUGCAAAAGAAGUAGGUAGCUUAACCUUCGGGAGGGCGCUUACCACUUUGUGAUUCAUGACUGGGGUGAAGUCGUAACAAGGUAACCGUAGGGGAACCUGCGGUUGGAUCACCUCCUUACCUUAAAGAAGC